CACGUAGGGCGCAAGCGUUGUCCGGAAUUAUUGGGCGUAAAGAGCUCGUAGGCGGUCUGUUGCGUCCGCUGUGAAAACUCGGGGCUUAACCCCGAGCCUGCAGUGGAUACGGGCAGACUAGAGGUAGGUAGGGGAGAAUGGAAUUCCCGGUGUAGCGGUGAAAUGCGCAGAUAUCGGGAGGAACACCGGUGGCGAAGGCAGCUCGCUGGGACGGUAUUGACGCUAAGGCGCGAAAGCGUGGGGAGCAAACAGG
rnacentral:rRNA from 1 species